AAGUCGUAACAAGGUAACCGUAGGUGAACCUGCGGUUGGAUCAUUAUAAAACUUUGGAUUCGUUUGGAAAGAAGAACACUCGGAUCUCUGUGACCAGUUUUCAAGUACGAAUGAAACUCCCUUUCUAAAAGGGGGUACCCACAUUGUGUGAACCUGUACAUUUCCCUCUCCGGGGAUGUCUUGUGCUCAACUUUUGUGUUUUGGGGAAUGCUUCUGAGAGUUCGACUGGGGCAGAUGUUCCGGUCUUUUUUGAACACAAUCAUUCAAAAACAACUUUUGGCAACGGAUCUCUUGGCUCUC
rnacentral:misc_RNA from 1 species